AUAUCUUCGGAGACAUCCGAUAAAAUUGGAACGAUACAGAGAAGAUUAGCAUGGCCCCUGCGCAAGGAUGACACGUAUAUAAAAAAAAGGUUCCAUGGGAUA
rnacentral:snRNA from 1 species